GGCGCCGCCGAGCCAGCCGAGUGCCCGCGGGCUUGACCGUGAACGCCGCGGGAGUCGGGGCGCGCCCCCUGCGGCGGCCGAGAGCCCCGCCUUGUCUCCGGGGACCACUUCGCCUCCCGCUUCCUCCUUCUUUUCCCGCCAGCACCCCUGCGCCCGGGGGUGCUCCAGGAGGGAGUCGUAGGAGCUGGAAUGGAGAGCUCAAGUGCCUCAGGCGGCCGCCUGACUCCCGGUGAAGAAACUAAGGCCCGGAAAGGUGCUAGCAGCAAUAGUGAUUCCACAUAUGACAGAAAUUCUCUUUCUGGCUUAUUUCACUUAGAAUGACGAUCUCCAGGUCCAUCCAUGUUGCUGCAAAU